GUUUCCCAAGAGUCCGCUCUCUCGUCUUCCUCCUCCUCCUCCUCCCCCUUCCCGAGCUCCUCUCUCUUGCCGUCCACGCUCGACUGCGCGAGACACUGGUCAACGCCCGGGUGGCAGGCGGCUCUGGUGGUGUGUUGUGUGUGUGGUGGUGGGGUCGGGUGAGUCUAGCUCCGUCGCUUGCGCCGGAAGAACUUGUCGGGAGCUGUCUCUAGCCCUCGGGUUCCAUGGGGAGGAACGGUAGCGUGAAGCGCUCGGCGUCUUCGAGCGCUGCGGGUGCUGCUGCGGGGCCGCCGUCCUUCUCUGUGAAUCCCGCCGACUACCGGUUGAUGGAGGAGGUGGGGUACGGUGCGCACGCCGUCGUGUACCGCGCGAUCUUCCUGCCGACCGAGGAUGUUGUGGCUGUCAAGUGCCUGGAUCUCGAUCAGCUCAAUAACAACAUCGAUGAAAUACAAAGGGAGGCUCAAAUAAUGAGCUUGAUAGAUCAUCCUAAUGUAAUCAGGGCUUACUGCUCAUUUGUUGUAGAGCACAGCCUCUGGGUGAUAAUGCCAUUCAUGACAGAGGGUUCUUGUUUACACUUAAUGAAGAUCUCAUACCAAGAAGGUUUUGAUGAGCCGGUCAUUGGCUCCAUUCUAAAGGAAACUCUUAAGGCUCUGGAAUACCUUCACCGGCAGGGUCAAAUACAUCGUGAUGUUAAGGCUGGUAAUAUCCUUAUUGAUGGUGCUGGGGUAGUGAAGCUUGGAGACUUUGGUGUUUCUGCUUGUAUGUUUGAUAGAGGUGACAGGCAAAGAUCUAGGAAUACAUUUGUAGGAACACCAUGCUGGAUGGCUCCAGAAGUGCUCCAACCUGGCACUGGAUAUAAUUUCAAAGCUGACAUAUGGUCAUUUGGAAUCACUGCUCUUGAACUAGCACAUGGCCAUGCUCCAUUUUCGAAAUACCCCCCUAUGAAGGUUCUUCUCAUGACACUCCAGAAUGCACCACCUGGUCUUGAUUAUGAACGUGACAGAAGAUUCUCGAAGUCAUUUAAAGAGAUGGUUGCAAUGUGCUUGGUCAAAGAUCAAACAAAGAGACCAACAGCUGAGAAGUUGCUAAAGCAUUCAUUUUUCAAAAAUGCAAAGCCUCCGGAGUUGACUAUUAAGAAUAUCUUAUCUGGUUUACCUCCUCUCUGGGACCGUGUAAAGGCUCUCCAGCUUAAAGAUGCAGCACAAUUGGCUUUGAAGAAAAUGCCUUCUUCUGAACAGGAGGCUCUCUCCCUGAGUGAAUAUCAACGCGGUGUUAGUGCAUGGAACUUCGAUAUCGAGGAUCUCAAGGCUCAAGCAUCAUUGAUUCAUGAUGACGAGCCACCAGAAAUAAAAGAAGAUGAUGACAUUCCAAGAAACAUUGAGGAUUUAUCUUCACGGAACCAUUUGGCAAAGUCAUCUGCAAAUGAAUGCAACUCCAGCCAGCGAGCUUUUGCCACCACUUUAAAUUCGGAUGGAAACAGCCCCACCAUGAACGAAGCUUUUGAUUUUGAUAUUAGCGAUGCUGACACUACAAGAAGGGCUGAUGGAUAUGAAAGCAACACAAGGCAGAAUGAUUCGUUGCCCUCUACAUCAAAGAGAGAUCCAGAGUCGAAUCAUUGGGCAAGUGAUGGCCAGAGACAACUGACUUCUGGUGGGAACAAUAGCUCAACAUCUGAAAGGGGCUAUGGUUUUGAGAGGGAUGCAUCUGUGCAAAUGAUAUCUGACAAACAAAGAAGUGAGAUGAGAAAAACAGCAAGCCUUAGUGGUCCACUUUCACUGCCAACUCGUGCUUCUGCAAAUAGUCUGUCAGCUCCUAUUCGAUCUUCAGGAGGUUAUGUAGAUUCAUCAGGCGAUAAGUCCAAACGAAGUGUAGUAGAGAUUAAAGGUCGCUUCUCAGUGACAUCUGAGAAUGUCGAUCUUGCAAAGGUUCAGGAAGGUCCACUUAGUAGUCUCUCCCGGAAAUCACCAGAGGGUUCACUGUUAAGAAAAUCUGCCAGCACUGGUGAUUAUUUUGUUAAUCCUAAGCUGAUGGAUCCACGGACAGGACAUGUGAUUCUUUGCUGCAAUAGCAACGACGAUCUCUACGCCAUACCAUCAACCUCAUGCUGGAACAGAUUGCUCUGUUGUUCACCCUAUUUGAUGUCCAGGCAGUGGCUGGGAGUAGGGAGGCACAUAUAUCACCAUUUUCAUGGUUGGGGCGGAGGAAACUCGGAGUAAUCAAUGGGGACUGGGGAAUGUUGAAGUUGAAGGAGGCUGAAAGGCAUGGUCAGCUCUGACCAUCAAGGGGUCUAUCUUUGUUUUGGCGCAGAUAGAGAGAGAGGGGGAGAUUGAGAGAGAUCGAGCACAUGCUACUGCAGCAGUGUAAUGCUAAUCAGCUGAAGGAACUAUGCAAUAGUUCAGUAUCAUCUUCAGUAUUAAUUCCCCACCUUAACAACCUUGUGCAACAGACUAUGUUUCAGCAGGAUCUAAUCAUGAACCUACUUAGUAACUUGCAACAAAGUGAGAAAGUUGAUGGAACACAACCAAUAAUAUCUUCUCAAGUCCGAACAAUGGAGAAUGAUAAAGUAGCUGAUACAGUUAACUCUGUGAAGGAACGGUCAUUACUUGUUAAAAUUUCAGAGUUGCAGUCUAGGAUGAUAAUACUGACUGAUGAAUUAAUUGCAGCUAAGCUAAAACAUGUUCAGUUGCAGCAAGAGCUAAAUGCACUGUACUGCCGAGAAGAAAUUGUGGAUAUCAGGGAUGAGGAUAACGAAGAAACAUAAUGAGGAUCCAUGCCGUAUGAAUUAUCCGCCUCUCUCUGAGAUGCAUAAAUUACCUGCCUCUCCCUGAGGUCAAUGGAGAACAGGAGAAGGAAAGCGGCGGGGAGAACAAGAGAAGAAAAGUGGAGGUGCCGCAAAUAUUUGCUGGAUCUAGAGAGUAGCUGCGGUUGUGUUUUUUUUCUUUGAAGGUUGUCUUCCCCUUGCUUGCUGUCAUCAGUCAUCAGUGUGUAUAACCGUCUCUUUUUCAGUAGUUCGAGGUUUUUUUUUGGGUGACUACAAGAUGAGGCGUGGUCAUGCUGCUAUUUUUCUGUCAUCCCCAUCAUUGGAAGUAGCUGUGAUUAUGUAGUACGUAGGCUACCGGGGUGGUUAAUCUAUGUAGAAUUGCAGGUGACUGCAUAAUAAAUUGUAUUUUAUGUAGCAAUAGGAUGUAUAUUAAAUAUUGGCGCAUUCGUUGAUAUAAUAUCAUAUAGGGCUAUUUGCAAACAUCCAAACAAGGUUGUUUGCAUAUAUCUAAUAA